GAAAGAGAGGGUGAUGAGAAAGAAAGGCCAAGUGAGAGAGUGAUAGUGGAAAGGUCGAGCAAAGAAAAGAUGGACAGCACGAGUUGAGGAGGAUUAGAAGGAAGGAUCCUCAUCUAGAGUCCGUGGGGAUGAGAAGAGUCCGAAGAAGGACCAUUGCCGUAGACGAACAUUCAUUCGGAAGUAAGAGAUCUGGUGAAGUAGGAACAAGAACAAGACCAAGAUGUGCAAGGAAAAGAAUCCAAUUCCUAGGAGCACCCAAAUGAAAAUAGAUGACCAAACUUGAAUGUGGAACAUUGUAAAGGAAUGGCAUACGCAUAUAUAUGUGCAACGAACAGCUAAUCAUAUGUACAUGAAUACUUAUUGUGAGUUGGGAUUUUCUCGUCUAGUACUUUAGAAAGGAUAUUGUAUGUGUUGUGUUAGAACUAGAAUGGGCGAAGUAUGACGCUCUACCCCUUCAAGGGAUGUAGUUCACUGUAUUUGUCAAUAUUUUCCUGAUUGCUUUGUUGUGAAAAAUGGUUGGUGGCUUA
rnacentral:misc_RNA from 1 species